AUUGAACGCUGGCGGCAGGCCUAACACAUGCAAGUCGAGCGGAUGAAGGGAGCUUGCUCCUGGAUUCAGCGGCGGACGGGUGAGUAAUGCCUAGGAAUCUGCCUGGUAGUGGGGGAUAACGUCCGGAAACGGGCGCUAAUUCCGCAUACGUCCUGAGGGAGAAAGUGGGGGAUCUUCGGACCUCACGCUAUCAGAUGAGCCUAGGUCGGAUUAGCUAGUUGGUGGGGUAAAGGCCUACCAAGGCGACGAUCCGUAACUGGUCUGAGAGGAUGAUCAGUCACACUGGAACUGAGACACGGUCCAGACUCCUACGGGAGGCAGCAGUGGGGAAUAUUGGACAAAGGGCGAAAGCCUGAUCCAGCCAUGCCGCGUGUGUGAAGAAGGUCUUCGGAUUGUAAAGCACUUUAAGUUGGGAGGAAGGGCAGUAAGUUAAUACCUUGCUGUUUUGACGUUACCAACAGAAUAAGCACCGGCUAACUUCGUG
rnacentral:rRNA from 1 species